rnacentral:hammerhead_ribozyme from 1 species
AUCCAGUUGACGAGUCUUAAACAGGACGAAGCACACAGUCCUGGAU